UCUCUUGGCGGCGAGUGGCGGACGGGUGAGUAAUAUAUCGGAACGUGCCCAGUAGCGGGGGAUAACUACUCGAAAGAGUGGCUAAUACCGCAUACGCCCUACGGGGGAAAGGGGGGGAUCGCAAGACCUCUCGCUAUUGGAUCGGCCGAUAUCGGAUUAGCUAGUUGGUGGGGUAAAGGCUCACCAAGGCAACGAUCCGUAGCUGGUUUGAGAGGACGACCAGCCACACUGGGACUGAGACACGGCCCAGACUCCUACGGGAGGCAGCAGUGGGGAAUUUUGGACAAUGGGGGAAACCCUGAUCCAGCCAUCCCGCGUGUAUGAUGAAGGCCUUCGGGUUGUAAAGUACUUUUGGCAGAGAAGAAAAGGUAUCCCCUAAUACGGGAUACUGCUGACGGUAUCUGCAGAAUAAGCACCGGCUAACUACGUGCCAGCAGCCGCGGUAAUACGUAGGGUGCAAGCGUUAAUCGGAAUUACUGGGCGUAAAGCGCGUGUAGGCGGUUCGGAAAGAAAGAUGUGAAAUCCCAGGUCUCACUCUUGACUGUGUAUUUAAAUGUGACGAUAUAGACUAUGUACAGAGGGGGAGAGUAUCCCACGUGUAGCAGAGAUGCGUAUAGAUAUGUGGAAGUACCGCGAUGGAAGGCAGCCCCCUGGGAUAAUACUGACGCUCAGACACGAAAGCGUGGGGAGCAAACAGGAUUAUAUACCCUGGUAGUCCACGCCCUAAACGAUGUCUACUAGCUGGUGGGGCCGUUAGGGCCGUAGUAUCG
rnacentral:rRNA from 1 species